rnacentral:rRNA from 1 species
GACGAACGCUGGCGGCGUGCUUAACACAUGCAAGUCGAACGGAAAGGCCCUGCUUUUGUGGGGUGCUCGAGUGGCGAACGGGUGAGUAACACGUGAGUAACCUGCCCUUGACUUUGGGAUAACUUCAGGAAACUGGGGCUAAUACCGGAUAGGAGCUCCUGCUGCAUGGUGGGGGUUGGAAAGUUUCGGCGGUUGGGGAUGGACUCGCGGCUUAUCAGCUUGUUGGUGGGGUAGUGGCUUACCAAGGCUUUGACGGGUAGCCGGCCUGAGAGGGUGACCGGCCACAUUGGGACUGAGAUACGGCCCAGACUCCUACGGGAGGCAGCAGUGGGGAAUAUUGCACAAGGGGCGGAAGCCUGAUGCAGCAACGCGGCGUGCGGGAUGACGGCCUUCGGGUGGUAAACCGCUUUCGCCUGUGACGAAGCGUGGGUGACGGUAAUGGGUAAAGAAGCACCGGCUAACUACGU